UACGGAGGGUCCAAGCGUUAUCCGGAAUUAUUGGGUUUAAAGGGUCCGCAGGCGGAAUUAUAAGUCAGUGGUGAAAUCUCGAUGCUCAACAUCGAAACUGCCAUUGAUACUGUAGUUCUUGAAUAUAGUCGGAGUAGGCGGAAUGUGUAGUGUAGCGGUGAAAUGCUUAGAUAUUACACAGAACACCGAUAGCGAAGGCAGCUUACUAGGUUAUAAUUGACGCUCAUGGACGAAAGCGUGGGUAGCGAACAGG
rnacentral:rRNA from 1 species